rnacentral:rRNA from 1 species
UACGGGGGGGGCAAGCGUUGUUCGGAAUUACUGGGCGUAAAGGGUGCGUAGGCGGUCUGUUAAGUCGGGUGUGAAAUUUCGGAGCUUAACUCCGAAACUGCAUUCGAUACUGCGGUGCUUGAGGACUGGAGAGGAGACUGGAAUUCAUGGUGUAGCAGUGAAAUGCGUAGAGAUCAUGAGGAAGACCAGUGGCGAAGGCGGGUCUCUGGACAGUUCCUGACACUGAGACACGAAGGCCAGGGGAGCAAACGGG